AGUGAACGCUGGCGGUAGGCCUAACACAUGCAAGUCGAACGGCAGCACAGUAAGAGCUUGCUCUUACGGGUGGCGAGUGGCGGACGGGUGAGGAAUACAUCGGAAUCUACUUUUUCGGGGGGGAUAACGUAGGGACACUGACGCUAAUACCGCAUACGACCUACGGGUGAAAGCAGGGGAUCUUCGGACCUUGCGCGAUUGAAUUAGCCGAUGUCGGAUUAGCUAGUUGGCGGGGUAAAGGCCCACCAAGGCGACGAUCCGUAGCUGGUCUGAGAGGAUGAUCAGCCACACUGGAACUGAGACACGGUCCAGACUCCUACGGGAGGCAGCAGUGGGGAAUAUUGGACAAUGGGCGCAAGCCUGAUCCAGCCAUACCGCGUGGGUGAAGAAGGCCUUCGGGUUGUAAAGCCCUUUUGUUGGGAAAGAAAAGCAGCAGGUUAAUACCCCGCUGUUCUGACGGUACCCAAAGAAUAAGCACCGGCUAACUUCGUG
rnacentral:rRNA from 1 species